rnacentral:tRNA from 1 species
CACCACUCCGCCAACUCGCCUACUGCCUUGGAAACAAGGUCUUUCGUGGUGUGAGGCAGCAGGUAUCG